rnacentral:rRNA from 1 species
UACAGAGGGGGCAAGCGUUGUUCGGAAUUACUGGGCGUAAAGGGCGCGUAGGCGGCCUGCUAAGUCGAACGUGAAAUCCCCGGGCUCAACCCGGGAACUGCGUCCGAUACUGGCAGGCUUGAAUCCGGGAGAGGGAUGUGGAAUUCCAGGUGUAGCGGUGAAAUGCGUAGAUAUCUGGAGGAACACCGGUGGCGAAGGCGGCAUCCUGGACCGACACUGACGCUGAGGAGCGAAAGCCAGGGGAGCAAACGGGG